rnacentral:lncRNA from 1 species
UUUGCCUCGUUCAUGAACUGGGAGUAAUGCAUGACAAACACAACCAAAGACAAAGUCGAGGGUAAUGUGGAACACAUUGGAAUUCAACUUCUCUCGAGGAGAGACAUUUCUGAUAAAAGAUGACGGAGUCCGAUUAAUGGAUGUCGAAAUGGCUUCAAGCCCAAAAGCUCUAAGCAACUCCAAACUCUGUAAGGAGGGAGCUUAUAGUUAC